rnacentral:rRNA from 1 species
UACGUAGGCAGCGAGCGUUGUUCGGAGUUACUGGGCGUAAAGAGCUCGUAGGCGGCUUGUCGCGUCGUUCGUGAAAACCUGCAGCUCAACUGCAGGCUUGCGGUCGAUACGGGCAGGCUAGAGUUCGGUAGGGGAGACUGGAAUUCCUGGUGUAGCGGUGAAAUGCGUUGAUAUCUACAGGAACUCCGGUGGCGAAAGCGGCGUGCUGGACCUUUUCUGACGCUGAGGCGCGAAAGCUAGGGGAGCAAACGGG